UACGUAGGGACCAAGCGUUGUUCGGAUUUACUGGGCGUAAAGGGCGCGUAGGCGGUCAGCACAAGUCAGUUGUGAAAUCUCCGAGCUUAACUCGGAAAGGUCAACUGAUACUGUGCGACUAGAGUGCAGAAGGGGCAACUGGAAUUCUCGGUGUAGCGGUGAAAUGCGUAGAUAUCGAGAGGAACACCUGCGGCGAAGGCGGGUUGCUGGGCUGACACUGACGCUGAUGCGCGAAAGCCAGGGGAGCGAACGGG
rnacentral:rRNA from 1 species